GACGAACGCUGGCGGCGUGCCUAAUACAUGCAAGUAGAACGCUGAAGGAGGAGCUUGCUUCUCUGGAUGAGUUGCGAACGGGUGAGUAACGCGUAGGUAACCUGCCUGGUAGCGGGGGAUAACUAUUGGAAACGAUAGCUAAUACCGCAUAAGAGUAGAUGUUGCAUGACAUUUGCUUAAAAGGUGCAAUUGCAUCACUACCAGAUGGACCUGCGUUGUAUUAGCUAGUUGGUGGGGUAACGGUUUACCAAGGCGACGAUACAUAGCCGACCUGAGAGGGUGAUCGGCCACACUGGGACUGAGACACGGCCCAGACUCCUACGGGAGGCAGCAGUAGGGAAUCUUCGGCAAUGGACGGAAGUCUGACCGAGCAACGCCGCGUGAGUGAAGAAGGUUUUCGGAUCGUAAAGCUCUGUUGUAAGAGAAGAACGAGUGUGAGAGUGGAAAGUUCACACUGUGACGGUAUCUUACCAGAAAGGGACGGCUAACUACGUG
rnacentral:rRNA from 1 species